GUAGUUUUUUCAUAUCUAAUUUAUUUCGAUUCCGAGAACUUAACGGCAUAAAAAUUGUUUAAAUAACAUUAUGCAAACAUUUUCUUGAAUUAAAAUUCGUUAGUAAAAACAAUUUAUUCACAUACUGUAUAUGAUUUAGGGUAGAGACGUGCCAGGAAUUACGUGUACAGCCUGAGCCUGUGGAAAAGGGAUGAAGGAAGAGCGUUUUGGCCCAUAUUGAUCGAUAAUUAUAUUCGAUUGACUUCUUGCUUAAGCGGACUUUUCCUCCUUGGAUUACACUGGGAACAGAGUAUUGUGCAGUCGUUUCAAGCCGACUUCUUGCUGUCUGCUCUCGUGGGAAUUUUGUGCAAAUACAUUAAACAAUAAUAAUUUGCUUUAAAUAUUUCACUUAUUUUUGCGUCUUGCCAACUCAUAUUUCAGAUUUCUUUUGUGUUUUAUUUGUUUUUCUUGUUUUUUUUUUUUUUUGAAAGCAUUUCCUUGGAAGCUUGCCUCAGCUGCAGCUUCUUGAGAAUUUGUACACAUUUUCAAGCACAUUUCCAAUGGAAUUUUAAACGAUGUCCCUCUUUGAUCUCAGCCAGCACGACUCUCCCGGCAGGAGCCUUUUAUCAUGCCCGUUAACUAUGCCGAACUUCUAUGCUGAAAGCGAUUGUCGAUUGUCGACAAAAAGAGAGAGGCACAGGCUGAGUCAGACAGAGAGAGCGAGCAGCCUUUCAUCUGUUGCCAGGAGAGUUAUGGCCCAGGCCCAUGGCUAAUUGCCUUGCCUUGCGGGGCAACGGGUGGCACAGCCAAACCAAAAUAUCUGUACAAGCAGUGCCAGCAGUAGAAACAGCAGCAGCAGCAGCAGCAGCAGCAGAAACGUCCACAGCCAAAUUGCGAAAUAUUUGUGCAAAUGAAAUGGCCGCAAGACAGGCGGGCCCAGACAAGGUGUUUACACACAUACUCGUGCACAUGCUACAAGUACAGCCUUGUCCUGGCAACAAUACACUCGGAGAAAAACAGCAUAUCAGCUUCUAGUAUCACCGGGUUUCAAUAGAUACAUAUAUCCUUUAUUCCUAAAAUUGUUGGCAAACUUCACUCCAAUUUCCCUUGUCAAAUGAGAUAAAACAUAAAGAAUUUGUACGCGUAUUGUUAGCAAAAAUGGACUCGAUUAAAGGUUAAAGCUAUACGGUUUUGUACUACACCUAAAUCUAACUUCUAGAUAUUUUGCUUGUUAAAAUAAAGUUAUGGAUGUUUUCUUCAUAUGUA